rnacentral:lncRNA from 1 species
CGGGGGCUUUGGACCCUGGCGGCCCAAGCGGCACGUGGGCCUCGCAGCCGCAGAACCCCCCCACCUGGAGCAUCUCGCGAUCAUCGAGCCCUCGGUCUACUUGACACUGAGGCUGAGCCUCCCAGGUGCGCUGAUUCGCCUCCCCUCCGGUUCCAGAUUGUGCACGCGCCGGAGCAGCGGCGCACCAGCCCCCGGCUCCGGCGCCACCAUCUUCGCGCUAAGCUCUGGCCAAGGCCGCUGCGGCAUCGCAGUGAUCCGGACCAGCGGCCCCGCCAGCGGCCACGCCCUCCGAAUUCUCACAGCACCCCGAGACCUGCCCCUUGCUCGCCACGCCAGCCUGCGCCUGCUCAGCGAUCCCCGCUCCGGGGAGCCUCUGGACCGCGCACUGGUGCUCUGGUUCCCAGGUGAGGGUCCCCAGGUUCCGAGCCUCCUGUAGGUCCCAUGACUCAGUUUCCCCCUUCCAAGGGUUUGCACUGGCUGUGCUGUCCUCCUGUCACCUGUCUGUCACAUUAGGUCCCCAGAGUUUCACCGGUGAGGACUGCGUGGAGUUCCACGUGCAUGGAGGCCCGGCAGUGGUGAGCG